rnacentral:rRNA from 1 species
CAGUAGCCGCGGUAAUACAGAGGGUGCGAGCGUUAAUCGGAUUUACUGGGCGUAAAGCGUGCGUAGGCGGCUUCUUAAGUCGAAUGUGAAAUCCCUGAGCUUAACUUAGGAAUUGCAUUCGAUACUGGGAAGCUAGAGUAUGGGAGAGGAUGGUAGAAUUCCAGGUGUAGCGGUGAAAUGCGUAGAGAUCUGGAGGAAUACCGAUGGCGAAGGCAGCCAUCUGGCCUAAUACUGACGCUGAGGUACGAAAGCAUGGGGAGCAAACAGGAUUAGAUACCCCUGUAGUCCCUGUCUCUUAUAC